UGGGGAAUUGUUCACAAUGGGCGCAAGCCUGAUGACGCAACGCCGCGUGGAGGAUGAAGGUCUUCGGAUUGUAAACUCCUGUUGCUCGGGACGAAAAGCUCUGACCUAACACGUUAGAGUCUGACGGUACCGAGUGAGGAAGCCCCGGCUAACUCUGUGCCAGCAGCCGCGGUAAUACAGAGGGGGCAAGCGUUGUUCGGAAUUACUGGGCGUAAAGGGCGCGUAGGCGGCCCUCUAAGUCAGACGUGAAAUCCCCGGGCUCAACCCGGGAACUGCGUCUGAUACUGGAGGGCUUGAAUCCGGGAGAGGGAUGCGGAAUUCCAGGUGUAGCGGUGAAAUGCGUAGAUAUCUGGAGGAACACCGGUGGCGAAGGCGACAUCCUGGACCAAUUCUGACGCUGAGGAGCGAAAGCCAGGGGAGCAAAUGGGAUUAGAUACCCAGUAGUCCCUGAGCGGGCUGGCAAGGCGCAU
rnacentral:rRNA from 1 species